rnacentral:rRNA from 1 species
UAUCAAAAGCCCGGAGGAA